GGACCCCAAAUCAACAACAUUUCUUGACAGCUUUCCUUUUUGCGUAUCAUCUGCUGCUAAAACUGCAACUGAAAAUACAUAUGUUCUUCUCGCUUUCUUGACAAGAACCUUUCCAAAAAAAUGCCAAGUUGAGUUAUUG
ensembl:ncRNA B0198.5 ncRNA